rnacentral:rRNA from 1 species
UACGGAGGGAGCUAGCGUUGUUCGGAAUUACUGGGCGUAAAGCGCACGUAGGCGGCUUUGCAAGUUAGAGGUGAAAGCCUGGGGCUCAACUCCAGAACUGCCUUUAAAACUGCAUCGCUUGAAUCCAGGAGAGGUGAGUGGAAUUCCGAGUGUAGAGGUGAAAUUCGUAGAUAUCGAGAGGAACACCGGCGGCGAAGGCGGCCCACUGGACAGAUACUGACGCUGAGACUCGAAAGCGUGGGUAGCAAACGGG